rnacentral:rRNA from 1 species
CAUAUCAAUAAGCGGAGGAAAAGAAACCAACAGGGAUUGCCCUAGUAACGGCGAGUGAAGCGGCAACAGCUCAAAUUUGAAAGCUGGCUCCGGCCCGCAUUGUAAUUUGCAGAGGAUGCUUUUGGCGAGGUGCCUUCCGAGUUCCCUGGAACGGGACGCCAUAGAGGGUGAGAGCCCCGUAUGGAUGGACACCAGACCUGUGUAAAGCUCCUUCAACGAGUCGAGUAGUUUGGGAAUGCUGCUCUAAAUGGGAGGUAAAUCUCUUCUAAAGCUAAAUACCGGCCAGAGACCGAUAGCGCACAAGUAGAGUGAUCGAAAGAUGAAAAGCACCUUGAAAAGGGGGUUAAACAGUACGUGAAAUUGUUGAAAGGGAAGCAUUUGUGACCAGACUUGCGCCGGGCAGCUCAUCAGGGGUUCUCCCCUGUGCACUCUGCCCGGCUCAGGCCAGCAUCGGUUCUCGUGGGAGGAUAAGAACAGUGGGAACGUGGCCCCCCUCCGGGGGGGUGUUAUAGCCCAUUGUACGAUACUCUCGUGGGGACCGAGGUUCGCGCUCCGCAAGGAUGCUGGCGUAAUGGUCAUCAAUGACCCGUCUUGAAACACGGACCAAGGAGUCGUCCAUUAGAGCGAGCGUUUGGGUGUAAAACCCGCACGCGUAAUGAAAGUGAACGCAGGUGAGAGCUUCGGCGCAUCAUCGACCGAUCCUGAUGUCUUCGGAUGGAUUUGAGUAAGAGUUUUAACGGACGGACCCGAAAGACAGUGAACUAUGCUUGUAUAGGGUGAAGCCAGAGGAAACUCUGGUGGAGGCUCGCAGCGGUUCUGACGUGCAAAUCGAUCGUCAAAUAUGAGCAUGGGGGCGAAAGACUAAUCGAACUGUCUAGUAGCUGGUUACCGCCG